UGGGGAAUCUUGGACAAUGGGCGCAAGCCUGAUCCAGCCAUGCCGCGUGAGUGAAGAAGGCCUUAGGGUUGUAAAACUCUUUCGCCGGAGAAGAUAAUGACGGUAUCCGGAGAAGAAGCCCCGGCUAACUUCGUGCCAGCAGCCGCGGUAAUACGAAGGGGGCUAGCGUUGUUCGGAAUUACUGGGCGUAAAGCGUACGUAGGCGGAUUUGUAAGUAGGGGGUGAAAUCCCCAGGCUCAACCUGGGAACUGCCUUCUAGACUGCAAGUCUCGAGAUCAGGAGAGGCGAGUGGAAUUCCGAGUGUAGAGGUGAAAUUCGUAGAUAUUCGGAGGAACACCAGUGGCGAAGGCGACUCGCUGGACUGAUACUGACGCUGAGGUACGAAAGCGUGGGGAGCAAACAGG
rnacentral:rRNA from 1 species